rnacentral:rRNA from 1 species
AUGGUCGUUCUUUCAGAUAGUCGAAUGACUUGGAAAAGUCAGUCAAAGAGGGUAAAAACCCCGUAGACGAAAUGUGGAAGACACCUAGGAGGAUCCUGAGUACGGCGGAACACGAGAAAUUCCGUCGGAAUCCGGGAGGACCAUCUCCCAAGGCUAAAUACUCCCUAGUGACCGAUAGUGAACCAGUACCGUGAGGGAAAGGUGAAAAGCACCCCGGAAGGGGAGUGAAAUAGAACCU